rnacentral:lncRNA from 1 species
ACCCAUCAUCCUUGGAAGACCGUUCCUCACCACCAUUAAAGCAAUCAUCUACAUUGAAACUGGAGAAGUCCAUAUGCACUUACCCUCAGAGAAGGUACGCCGCUAUUUUACUGACCCUAACUAUAUCGUUGAAGACUCUAAGCAGGUCAGGACAAGAAGAAGACGACGCAACCGCAACCAGAGGCGGGGAAAUCAUCAAGGACGGAUGGGCAGACUAUGAAGGAGAAGUGAUAAGGUCUGAAGACAUACAGUUUGAACAAGAUUAUCUUGAGGAGAUCGUUAUACCGAGUCAGGUGUGGAAAGAGAAGAUAACUAUACACGAAGAAGAGGCGCCGCCGGAAGCACCGACUACGCCAUCCAACAAAUCCUAGGACGACUAAGAAAACGGAGAGUCCCAUUCGGAGGACUUAGAAACACCGAACGCCUUGCCAAGAGGUAAACUUGGUAGUUAUCCUUUUCUUUUCAAGUAUUUAAAAUAGUUUACUUAGUUAAUUAUGCACAUACUGUCCUAAAAAGAAAAUAAAAAUGUUAAAAAUAGUAAGCCCCAUGUGAGUAUACAAGUGGCAUAAAACCCAUAAGUACAUUCACUGUGGUGGCAUAAAAAUAAAAUAAAUAUUUUUUUGCUCUAUAAAAUGAAAAUAUAAAAAUAGAGAGUAACAUUUAUUGAGGAGGCUCAACAUGAUAAAGGCUAGAUAUUUAUGCUAACACCUAAUCAGUUCCACAAAGCUUUGUUGUAUAUUUGAGCUCCACAGAAUUUAAGAAUCAAGAAGACUAGCAGACGGAGGACAUUCUAAUCGCUGUGAGGAUACUGCCGACUUUCAAAUACACCUGUGCCACCUGCUAGCUACAUCAGAAGAAAUUACGUCAAAAUUCAGCUUGGGGGAGAGCACCCCCAUUUUUCUCGCUAAGUAUUUCUAUCUUUAUACUUAUAAUGUAUUAAAAUAACUAUGAAAAACCAAAUAAAGAUUUUGUGCUUAUAUAUAUCUUUUGCUUAGUGUGUUUAAUAAAUAAAUAAAGUGGCUAUGCUAAACUGAAUCUUAAUAAUUAAACUCUAGCAUGGAUAUGAUGAAUAGUUGCUCUGCCUAAUUUUCAAAUUUAAGUUCUCUCUCAAGUUUAGACAUAACUGUUAUAAUUUAAAGCUUGCUCUAAACCUAAACUUGUGGGAAGAAAACUUGAUCUAAAGUUUAAGUUGUUAACGGAUAUGAUAUGGGAAGGUUGAGCUGUUGUUUAUCUGUUCCUAGAGAUGCUAGAAUUCUAGAGAAUUUUAUCUUUCAAAAUCUUUAAAAUAUCACAUGAUGAGUUCCUGUAUGAUGAGAGUUUAAAUUCCUACCACAGCCAUAUAUACAUGCUUGCUAGACUUUGAGCCACACAUUUACUUUUUACUAUUUAUGAGCAUUGAGUGUGGUCAUGCUGUGUAGACCCUUAGGAGCUUGUCAUAUGGUUAAAUCAAGAUUCACUUGCACGUUCAUUCACAUAUACUGCUUCCACUCCGGAAGUACGUAUCCACAUAUAUCCACCCAUUUCCAUCUCCAGAACCACCUAAAAAUAUUUUACUCCUAAUUCGGGAGAGAAUAGCCAAAAAUAUUUCUGUAUUUCCUUGUGAAAUAAAUGCUCAAGUUAUCUUGCUUACUACCACUUGCUAUAUUAUUUCAGGAUAUGAGUGCUCUAAAAAAAAGAGAUAGAUACGAGGAAAUAAAAAGGGGCAAGUGCCCGGAACCUCGAAAGAAAAGAAAAAGUGAGACGAGAGGUAAAAAUGGACAAGUGUCCGACAGUAGAAUUGGGGGUACAAGAUACCCACUGUUGACGGUCCUUAAGUAUCAAAUUUAAUUAACAAAUAAACAAAGAAAAGGAUCCAAAUGAAAUCAACAUCUAAACUUAGGGUUUUAUCUGAUAGAAUUCCAUGAGUUUUUGUGUUUGUCUAUUUCUGCAGGGGGUUAUCAGGAAAUAAGGAAGAAAGGCCCACACGUCGGGAUUACAUAGAGAUAUCAACGUGCCGCGCAAUUAUCUUAUAUCUAGAAGACUCCAGAAGCCACGGGAAGGAAGUGGAGGCCGAACGGGGCUAGGAACUGGGCACCCGCCCCCUCCUGGAGUUGGAUUAGGACUCUCUUUCGGGAAAGAUCUCUACUGACCUAAAGGAUCAUGGAUAACCGUUCAAUCAAUGUCGGUUAGAUCCAACGGCCCAUAUUCACUUGAAGGGACUAGAAAACCAGACCCCCUGGCCCUUGGAGGAGAGAACCUCUCAACCCUAAUUCAUUAUUCCUCAAGGGAGAAGAAGCCUCUGAUCAAGCCUAGAGCCACCACAUCAAUUAGACAUCUAGAUUAGCAUAGCUACAUAGGAUUAGAACUAGAAGGAGUCAAUCUUUGAUUGGUUUCCGGAUCUGUCACGAGGAUUGGUGGUAAUUCUCUAAUUGUUCUUGUAGUUGUUCUUCUAAUCAUAUUUGUUCUUCAAUAUUAUGAAUAUGACUUUGUUCAACUUCAAUAUAUUGCUUAUGACUUUGCUCUACUUGCUUAUAUUCAAGAUUAUAUUGUUCUUAGUUUAUCAUAGUUAUAUACUUGGCUUAGUUAGAUUUGAUCUAUAUAUAUGUUUAUGAUCGUAUAGCUUUUAUCCAUCGGAUCCAUGAGUAAAUGUUAGAUAUUGUGUAGGCAUGGUGCUUAUACCAUAUUUAUCUGCGAUUGUACCCAAUAUGCCAGAUCGUGGGGUAGUUCGUGAUAGUGACAGCUUCAUUGAUUCUUAUAUAGUCCCCCUCUUGUUAUUGGGCUGGCAGAGCAACAUUAUUACAAGGGAAUGAUUGCUAUGUUUCUCAUUUACCUUGAUAAUAUCACUAUGCAUGGGCGUAGUCUUGUCUCUCAAUGAUUGCUAAGUAUGCUUGCACUAACUAUGAUAACGCUAGACUAUAUAAUUGAGAAUAACUUAGGAAAUAUUCUUGUAGUUCGUUCUAAUACCAUGCUAAUGACUUUCUAGAAUAUCUAAUUGAGGUGCUUAUCAUAUUUAUUAUGUGGCUUAGUUAUGCUGAUCAGAUUAAUUAUCUUUGUCACUAUUCAUUACUUCAUAUAUCUUUUAUGUGACACUUACCCCUGUAUGAAAGAGUUAGAUAAAUGUUCUCAAUUAUACAUGCAAUGAUAGAUACUCAAUCUCAUAUUCUAUUCUAUAAUCAAUAUUGAUGAUUGCUAAUCCCUUCCCAGUGGUAAAAAUAUAAAUAACGAUACCUGGAAUACUUCUCGGUUAAAAUGCUACAUCGGUAUUAAUCUGUGCGCUUGCAGAUCCCAUUCAUUAUAUAUUUAGAAGAGCAAUUGCAUAUUUCAAUACCGCGUCUCUCAUGUCAUGCUGGGGAUGACAACUUAGCUUAAGUGAUAUGAGGGAUAGGUUUGACAUUUUUGGCACCGCUAUCAGAAUUAGAAAACUAAGUCUACUUUUGGUAGUGACGUUAAGAAUGCCCAACAAGCAUUUUUGGCGCCGUUGCCGGGGAAGGUUGAUUACUAAUCAGGAAUGGAUAUAGAAUUUUGAGUUAUCAUUCGCAUCACUAAUGUGAUUGAGCUUAUUAAUUCUCUCAAACAGUUUUACCCCGAUAUUUCUCUAUUUUAUCUUAUGCAGGGGAAUGUAUGAAUAGAAGACAUCUUCUAGGAAAUUUUGUUGACAAUCCUGAAGCAUUAUUCAAAAAAACAAGAGCCAAGCUCAAGAAAGCAAGAAGCUUCAUCCAAUCAAGAAGAUCAUUGGAACUUGUCUUCAGAGUUCGAAGCUAUGGCGAACAAAUCGAUCCGUGAGUUCUCAGCUCCCACUACGGACAACAUCCGCACUGGACCUGCUACAGAGAUCGAUGACAACUUUGAGCUCAAGCCUGGACUUAUCAACAUGGUGCAAUCCAACCAGUUCUGUGGGAAGGCACACGAAGAUGCUAGUGCUCAUCUCCAGCACUUCCUGGAGAUUUGCAGCACAUUCACCAUAUCAAGAGUCCCUAGAGAUGUAUACUACUUCGCCUCUUCCCAUUCUCACUGUUGGGGAGAGCGAAGCAGUGGUUCUAUGCUACAAAGGAGAAGAAUACUACAUGGGCACUCUGCUCAACAAACUUUCUGGCUAAGUUCUUUCCCAUGGGCAAGACCAAUGCUCUCCGUGGGAAGAUUACAAGUUUUCAGCAACAAGAUGAUGAAUAUAUUCUAGAAGCAUGGGAGCGCUUCCAAGACUACAUCCUAGAAUGUCCCCAUCAUGGAAUGGAGAGUUGGCUACUAAUGCAGACGUUUUAUCAUGGGCUCGGCAACAGUGCCCGAGAAACCAUGGAUGCUGCAGCUGGAGGAGCAUUCCUAUCACUUACCAUAUCACAAGCCACAACUCUUGUGGAGAAGAUGGCGUCCAACCAAGGCUGGAAUGAAGAGACGACCCAGACACGCAAGAAAGGUGGAGGUAUGCAUCAGCUCAAGGAGGUAGACAUGCUGUCUACAAAGCUAGACCUGCUCAUGAAGAAGCUCGACGAUAGAGCUGGAGAUAAGAAGGAAGUUAUGCACAUCUACGACUGUCACAUGACUUGUGAGGAGUGUGGAGAUACUGGACACUCAGGCAAUCACUGCCCUAAGAUGCUUGAUGAUGUGAACUACAUCAACAAUAACAACAACAACUACUACUACUAUAACCGUCCUCAACAAAAUCAAGGUUGGAAUCAACAGAGGCCUAACUACUCAGGUAAUUAUCAAGGUAAUAAUUCUUACAACAAUAAUAAUAAUUUUCCACCUCUGAGAGAGUUAUUGUCUAAUCAAGGAAAGCUAAUGGAUAACCUAUCUAAGAAAUUGGCAUCUAAUGAUAAAUGCUAGAAAUUAUAAAUAAUAGAAUGGAUAAUUUCAAUACUGCCAUCAAGAAUCAAAUUAGCUUUAAUAAAAUGAUUGAAUCUCAGUUAAAUCAAAUAGCUGCUGCUGUUCCUGCUACUAACCCCGGUAUACCAUCACAACCGAAAGGAUUAGAAUCUGCAAAUCUUGUAGAUAUGUUUGAUGCAGGUAAUAACUGGAGUAACCCCGUCACUGAAUUCACUACUGAACUUCUGCCGGUCAAGAGAGGCGAUCCAGGACGCCCCGUCAUCCCAAUCUCCAUCGGCAUGGUGGACUUUCCAGAAGCACUCUGCGACUUUGGCUCUAGCGUCAACAUUAUGCCCAGGGUACUCUAUUAAAAGUUCUUUACAUAUCCUUUAUUAGAGACAACCAUGUGUUUGCAGUUUGCAGAUCAGGCAUUAAGUUUUCCAAAAGGAAUAUUGAAGAACCUUUGUGUCCGAGUUAGUACCUUAUACGCCCUAGCAGAUUUCGUGGUGAUAGAGACCGGAAAUGAUGAGAGGGCACCCAUCAUCUUAGGAAGGGCAUUCUUAAACACCUCAGGAGCUGUUAUCUAUGCUAGCGCUGCCAAGAUCAGUUUGUACAUCAAAGGGAGAAAGGAGACAUUUUUCUUCAAGAACAAGACUACACAAAUUCCUGAUCAAUCCAGACGUGAAUCAAGGAAGAGGACCAACAGGAGGAACAUGAACAAGCAAGUGUGGACCGAGUUAGCUAAGAUGGUCACUGCAGUUCAUGGAGGCCAAGAUCACCAACUUAAGUCACCGUUUCUGACCAAGAAGGAUGACCCAAGAAUGCCAAGCAUCUAUUGCUCCAUAAAUGGAUACAACUUCUACAAGACGACUUGCGACACCAGAUCGGGCGUCAACAUAAUGGCCGCAGUCACCUAUCGGCUCUUGUUCGGAACCAUGCCCUUAAAACCAACAUACAUUCACCUCCAGAUGGCAGAUCAGACAUUUCAAGAAGUUAAAGGAAUAGUAACUGAUGUCCCUAUCAAAAUAGACGAUCAUUUUGUCUACACAGACUUUCAGGUUAUUGACAUGGGAGAAGACGAAUACGAUCCGCCCAUCAUCCUUAGAAGACCGUUCCUCAACACCGUUAAAGCAAUCAUCUACAUUGGAACUGGAGAAGUCCAUAUGCACUUCCCCUCAGAGAAGGUACGCCGCUAUUUUAUUGACCCUAACUAUAUCAUUGAAGACUCUAAGUAGGUCAGAAGAAGACGACGCAACCGCAACCAGAGGAGGGAAAUCAUCAAGGACGGAUGGGCAGACUAUGAAGGAGAAGUUGUAAGGUCAGAAGACGUAUAGUUUAAACAGAAUUAUCCAGAGGAGACCGUAGCACCGAGUCAGGUGUGGAGAGAAAAGAUAACCAUACAUGAACAAGAGGCACCGCCGAAAGUAUCGACUCCGCCACCCAAUGACUCCCAGGACGACUGAGAAAACAAAGAGUCCCGUUCGGAGGACUUAAAAACACCGAACGCCAUGCCAAGAGGUAAACUUGGUAGUUAUCCUUUCUCUUUCAAUUAUUUAAAAUAGUUUACUUAAUUAGUUAUGUUUAUACUAUCCUAAAAAGAAAAGAAAAAUGUUAAAAAACAGUUAGCCCCAUGUGAGUAUACGGGUGGCAUAAAACCCAUAAGUACAUUCACUGUGGUGGCAUAAAAGUAAAAUAAAUAUUUCUUUUCUGCUUUAUAAAACGAAAAUAUAAAAAUAGCGAGUAUAUUAAGGAGGCUCAAUAUGAUAAAGGCUAGAUAUUUAUGCUAACACUUAAUCAGUUCCACAAGCUUUGUUGUCUAUUUGAGCUCCACAGAAUUUAAGAAUCAAGAAGACUAGCAGACAGAGGACAUUCUAAUCGCUGUCAGGAUACUGCCGACUUUCAAAUACACCUCUGCCACUUGCUAGCUACAUCAAGAGAAAUUACGUCAAAAUUCAGCUAGGG